GAGAAUUCCAAAGAAUGGAAGAAAUACAAUCCCAAUCAGAUCAUUAUAGGUCACCAUCUUCUUCAGUGAGUAGUCCAGCUAAUAGGGUGCCAUCAAGUAACUACUUCUACUCGAGGAAACCUGGCGCACUUAGACAACCAAUUUCAUUUGAAGAUUCACCUGUUUGGGAUGAGACGGAUAUAGAGGUCAAAGUGGACGAAGGAGGUGAUUCUAUUAAUGCUGCGACUACGCCACCCUCCCCUUCUCUGUCAAAGAUCAAUAGUGGUUCCUUGCCGUCUCCUUCUUCAAUAGAGAGGGAAGUUGUUACAAGGAAGAUUGCAGGAGCUUCUAUUGCA
rnacentral:misc_RNA from 1 species